AUUAUGUAUAUCAUUGGACCACAUGAUUUACAGAGAAUUAAAAGAGUCCAGAUGCUCAAAGUGUUUUGAAAUUCAAUUCAUUCUGCUUCAAACUGUCAGGUAUGACAGACACUGCAUCAAACCUCAAGGAGUCUUCUGUGUGGAUCCUCCAAACUUGCGCUCUUUGCAGAGUGAGCUGCAGGACACGCUGCAGGUUAGCACGGCUUGUUUUUUUUCUCACUCUGUUCUCACGUUCACGGUCUUCCUCUCCCUUCGUCUUCAGCUCAACCACUCAGUUCUCGACGACAGAGGCGCUCCGUCUCUUCAAGCGCCUGGCGAUUACUUUCAGAACAUCAUCCACAAGAUCAAGAGAGAAGGGCUGGUGUGUCUUGAAAGGGUGAAAAGAAAGGACAUCACGGGUGGUGGAUGAUAAUGAUUGCAUGUGGUGAUGUGUGUGAAUGAACAUAUCUGCUCUUUUGCAGGAUUCAACAGCUGUGGAGAGGAGGCCUUUUCUUCAGUGCCACCAGUCACAGGCAAACAUCAAACAGCAGCUUGUCAGCACGUAUGCCCUUUUUUAACCUCCUUUUCUCCUGUUAUGGUAACAGAACGGACAUAGUUGAUGUUAGUCUCUGUUCUGAGAAGUUCAACUAAUAAAAAAAAGGAUGUCUGGCUUUGACAGAGUAUUUAUGGACAUAUCAAUUCCAUAAGAGUAACUAUCUUCUUUGAGGAAUGCUCUAUGAGAGAUAAGUGCAGUUUUAGUGCCCAUUGGUGACGACAUGACAGUGUGUAAAAGAGAUGUUUAUAACGUUGUGGUGGUGGUUUCAGGCUGCAGGGGCUGCACAGGCGUGCGUGGGAGGAGAAAGGGGAGAAGGUGGAUGAGACCCUGAGCAUGUGUGAGAGGGAGCAAAAGAAAAUCCAGCCCGAGAUUCAGAGUCAGAUACAGGAGGACAAGAGGGUGGCUGCAGUGUACUGGUGCAGCACUCAGAAGGUGGAAAGGAGGGAAACCAAAGAAAUAAAGUCCAUCGAGGAGCAGUGUGAGGGAAAAGCAAAGGUUUUGCAAUCUGAGGAAAUCAUCAGCGAUACAGGAGAGAAGGACUGCCACCUGGGAACCCCUCAGAGAUCUGGACCAGAGUGUGCUGAGCGAAAAAACUCCAGCAGAACUCUGGGAAUACAGGAGAAAAACGCAAGGAGGCGAGAAGCAGGUCUGGCUGUGGGGAAGGAGGUAAAGGAUCAGAGGGUAAAGCCCCUGGAGAUCCCAACCUCAGAGCGAGAACAAACGCAGAUGCAGGAGGCCACAGACGGCUUUUUGGCUACACUCAAGAGGAUGGAGGCGAUGGUUAGCAGCGCUCUGGAGACAGCCGAGCUGGUGCGGCAAGGUGAGCAGAGGGUGAGCCAGGUAAGGCAGAAGAUGGAAAUCAUCACUCAGAAGGUCCAGGACGCUGUGGGCCACGCAGCCAGUACUGACAAGAAGCUGAAAACUCUGGAGGCCCUGGUCAAUGAAAAGACUCCCACUCAGUCUUCAGAUCCAAGAGUGUCGCCUGUUUUUGAGAUGGAGGGCAACAAGCUGCCUCCUGAAUGUCCAGAAGCCGCAGCGUCUCUGCAGCUGUCCAUGAACGGUACACUGACAGCUUCACAGAAACAUCUUCAGUGUUAUUGUGAUAAUAGCAUACACAGUUAGACAGAGAUGUAUUAAAGCUGCCUUCUUUUCUAGAGGUAAUCCCCAAGAUCUCUGAAAAUAGACGGAAUAUUUACACUGCAUACAAGCACUGCAGAGUGCAAG
ensembl:lncRNA